GCCGGGAUGAUGGAAUUGGCAGUCAUGCGCGACUCAAAAUCGCGUGCGGUAGCCCCGCGUGUGGGUUCGACUCCCACUCCCGGCACCA
rnacentral:tRNA from 1 species